AAAUAGGUGGUGGCCGAUUAUUCAACCCAGAGGAAAAUCCUGAAAUAGUAUGAAUUCAGAUUGUUGCCUAGAUAUGGAGCCCAAGAAGAGGGGUGAAUUAGGUUUUUUUAAAAUUUUAAAGAUUGAAUUACUCAAGCAAUGUGCCAAAAUGAAGAGUAAAGUGUAUCAACUUGCAAUAGAAAUAAAAUCAAAUACAAAUAAGAAGUAAGCAAGUAAUGAGCACAAAGAACAAAAGAAGAUAGGCAAGCACAACAAAAACAAAGGAUUUAUAGUAGUUCGAUACCAAUCCACUAAAUGGAUAACAAUGGAUUAUACCACGUCGGACACUUCCGACCCUUGCCUUUCAAGCAAGAAUAUUUAUUUUUCGGAUACAAACCAACCUUCAACACUCCGAUUCAGGAUUCAGAUCAACUCAAACGAGUUUUGAAACCUCUCAAAACUCAAACACCCAAAAACUAUUUGAGA
rnacentral:lncRNA from 1 species